AGAGUUUGAUCCUGGCUUAGGACGAACGCUGGCGGCGUGCUUCAUACAUGCAAGUCGAACGAUAAGGCACCUUCGGGUGUACAUAAGUGGCGGACGGGUGAGUAAAAUGUAGAGAAUCUGCCCUAGAGCGGGGGACAACAGCUGGAAACGGUUGCUAAUACCCCAUAUGAGCGUAGUUGAGAUACUAUUCUUGAAAACUCCGGUGCUCUGGGAUGAGUCUGCAUCUGAUUAGCUAGUUGGGGGUGUAAUGGACCACCAAGGCGACGAUCAGUAGCUGGUUUGAGAGGAUGAUCAGCCACAAUGGGACUGAGACACGGCCCAUACUCCUACGGGAGGCAGCAGUAGGGAAUUUUGCGCAAUGGGGGAAACCCUGACGCAAGCAACGCCGCGUGAUUGAAGAAGCCCUUCGGGGUGUAAAGAUCUGUCAGUGGGGACGAAACUUGACGGUACCCACAGAGGAAGCAUCGGCUAACUCCGUGCCAGCCGCUGC
rnacentral:rRNA from 1 species